AACGAACGCUGGCGGCAUGCCUAACACAUGCAAGUCGAACGAGACCUUCGGGUCUAGUGGCGCACGGGUGCGUAACGCGUGGGAACCUGCCCUUAGGUUCGGAAUAACUCCCCGAAAGGGGUGCUAAUACCGGAUAAUGUCUUCGGACCAAAGAUUGAUCGCCUUUGGAUGGGCCCGCGUUGGAUUAGCUAGUUGGUAGGGUAAAAGCCUACCAAGGCGACGAUCCAUAGCUGGUCUGAGAGGAUGAUCAGCCACACUGGGACUGAGACACGGCCCAGACUCCUACGGGAGGCAGCAGUGGGGAAUAUUGGACAGUGGGCGAAAGCCUGAUCCAGCAAUGCCGCGUGAGUGAUGAAGGCCUUAGGGUUGUAAAGCUCGUUUACCCGGGAUGAUAAUGACAGUACCGGGAGAAUAAGCUCCGGCUAACUCCGUG
rnacentral:rRNA from 1 species